AUGAACGCUAGCUACAGGCUUAACACAUGCAAGUCGAGGGGCAGCAUGAACUUAGCUUGCUAAGUUUGAUGGCGACCGGCGCACGGGUGAGUAACACGUAUCCAACCUGCCGAUGACUCGGGGAUAGCCUUUCGAAAGAAAGAUUAAUACCCGAUGGCAUAGUUCUUCCGCAUGGUAGAACUAUUAAAGAAUUUCGGUCAUCGAUGGGGAUGCGUUCCAUUAGGUUGUUGGCGGGGUAACGGCCCACCAAGCCUUCGAUGGAUAGGGGUUCUGAGAGGAAGGUCCCCCACAUUGGAACUGAGACACGGUCCAAACUCCUACGGGAGGCAGCAGUGAGGAAUAUUGGUCAAUGGACGAGAGUCUGAACCAGCCAAGUAGCGUGAAGGAUGACUGCCCUAUGGGUUGUAAACUUCUUUUAUACGGGAAUAAAGUGAGGCACGUGUGCCUUUUUGUAUGUACCGUAUGAAUAAGGAUCGGCUAACUCCGUGCCAGCAGCCGCGGUAAUACGGAGGAUCCGAGCGUUAUCCGGAUUUAUUGGGUUUAAAGGGAGCGUAGGCGGACGCUUAAGUCAGUUGUGAAAGUUUGCGGCUCAACCGUAAAAUUGCAGUUGAUACUGGGUGUCUUGAGUACAGUAGAGGCAGGCGGAAUUCGUGGUGUAGCGGUGAAAUGCUUAGAUAUCACGAAGAACUCCGAUUGCGAAGGCAGCCUGCUGGACUGUAACUGACGCUGAUGCUCGAAAGUGUGGGUAUCAAACAGGAUUAGAUACCCUGGUAGUCCACACAGUAAACGAUGAAUACUCGCUGUUUGCGAUAUACAGUAAGCGGCCAAGCGAAAGCGUUAAGUAUUCCACCUGGGGAGUACGCCGGCAACGGUGAAACUCAAAGGAAUUGACGGGGGCCCGCACAAGCGGAGGAACAUGUGGUUUAAUUCGAUGAUACGCGAGGAACCUUACCCGGGCUUGAAUUGCAACGGAAUGAUGUGGAGACAUGUCAGCCGCAAGGCAGUUGUGAAGGUGCUGCAUGGUUGUCGUCAGCUCGUGCCGUGAGGUGUCGGCUUAAGUGCCAUAACGAGCGCAACCCUUAUUGUUAGUUGCCAUCAUUUAGUUGGGCACUCUAGCGAGACUGCCGGUGACAAACCGGAGGAAGGUGGGGAUGACGUCAAAUCAUCAUGCCCCUUAUGACCUGGGCUACACACGUGCUACAAUGGCGCAUACAAAGAGAAGCGACCUCGCGAGAGCAAGCGGACCUCAUAAAGUGCGUCGUAGUCCGGAUUGGAGUCUGCAACUCGACUCCAUGAAGUCGGAAUCGCUAGUAAUCGUGGAUCAGAAUGCCACGGUGAAUACGUUCCCGGGCCUUGUACACACCGCCCGUCACACCAUGAGAGUUGGGGAUACCCGAAGCCUGUGAGCCAACAGUUAAAUGAGGCAGCAGUCGAAGGUAGAAUCAAUGAUUGGGGUG
rnacentral:rRNA from 1 species